rnacentral:rRNA from 1 species
GAUGAACGCUGGCGGCGUGCCUAAUACAUGCAAGUCGAGCGAACAGACGAGGAGCUUGCUCCUCUGACGUUAGCGGCGGACGGGUGAGUAACACGUGGAUAACCUACCUAUAAGACUGGGAUAACUUCGGGAAACCGGAGCUAAUACCGGAUAAUAUAUUGAACCGCAUGGUUCAAUAGUGAAAGACGGUUUUGCUGUCACUUAUAGAUGGAUCCGCGCCGCAUUAGCUAGUUGGUAAGGUAACGGCUUACCAAGGCAACGAUGCGUAGCCGACCUGAGGGGGUGAUCGGCCACACUGGAACUGAGACACGGUCCAGACUCCUACGGGAGGCAGCAGUAGGGAAUCUUCCGCAAUGGGCGAAAGCUUGACGGAGCAACGCCGCGUGAGUGAUGAAGGUCUUCGGAUCGUAAAACUCUGUUAUUAGGGAAGAACAAAUGUGUAAGUAACUAUGCACGUCUUGACGGUACCUAAUCAGAAAGCAACGGCUAACUACGUG